rnacentral:rRNA from 1 species
UACGUAGGGGGCAAGCGUUGUCCGGAUUUAUUGGGCGUAAAGAGCGUGUAGGCGGCUUUACAGGUCCGUUGUGAAAACUCGAGGCUCAACCUCGAGACGCCGGUGGAAACCGUAAAGCUAGAGUCCGGAAGAGGAGAGUGGAAUUCCUGGUGUAGCGGUGAAAUGCGCAGAUAUCAGGAAGAACACCAAUUGCGAAGGCAGCUCGCUGGAACGUAACUGACGCUGAGACGCGAAAGCGUGGGGAGCAAACAGG